GGGGAAUCUUAGACAAUGGGGGCAACCCUGAUCUAGCCAUGCCGCGUGAGUGAUGAAGGCCUUAGGGUUGUAAAGCUCUUUCAGCUGGGAAGAUAAUGACGGUACCAGCAGAAGAAGCCCCGGCUAACCCCGUGCCAGCAGCCGCGGUAAUACGGAGGGGGCUAGCGUUGUUCGGAAUUACUGGGCGUAAAGCGCACGUAGGCGGACCAGAAAGUUGGGGGUGAAAUCCCGGGGCUCAACCUCGGAACUGCCUUCAAAACUAUUGGUCUUGAGUUCGAGAGAGGUGAGUGGAAUUCCGAGUGUAGAGGUGAAAUUCGUAGAUAUUCGGAGGAACACCAGUGGCGAAGGCGGCUCACUGGCUCGAUACUGACGCUGAGGUGCGAAAGCGUGGGGAGCAAAC
rnacentral:rRNA from 1 species